UACGUAGGGUGCGAGCGUUGUCCGGAAUUAUUGGGCGUAAAGAGCUCGUAGGCGGUGUGUCACGUCGGCCGUGAAAACCUGCAGCUUAACUGUGGGCGUGCGGUCGAUACGGGCAUCACUGGAGUUCGGCAGGGGAGACUGGAAUUCCUGGUGUAGCGGUGAAAUGCGCAGAUAUCGGGAGGAACACCAGCGGCGAAGGCGGCACUCUGGGCUGGUACUGACGCUGAGGAGCGAAAGCGUGGGUAGCAAACAGG
rnacentral:rRNA from 1 species